GUCACUUUGCCGGAGUGGUUAACGGGAUCGCCUGCUACUAGCUGAUAGCGGUUGUGCUUUGCACGCGUGUGUUCGAAUCGCACAGGUGACG